CAGUGAUCCUCUGCAGGCUGAGGCGUAAAACCAGGCAGAAGAGGCAUCUUGGCCAAGAUAAAGCUUAGUCACAGCAGUUUGUUGUCGUUCCCUAUCUGAAUUUUGUUUUUCUCAUACAAGGGCUGGCCCAUCAAAGCAAGAUUGCUUAUAGACUUCUGACAGCCAGUUUCCAGUGCCAGCAUUAAGUAACACUGAGUGGUUCGAACUGCAAGAGAUUUGGAGGCUGGAAGGAACCUCAUUGGUCUGCAUGGAAAACUCCCCAUUGGGACGGAAAGCAAACACGGAUCUCAACACAGCCCGUUGGCUCAUCAGGAGCACAUGAAGGCUGCCAGCAUGGUUCACUGACAUCCUGUUUCUCUCUGGCUGCUCCACGGGGUCAGUCUGCAUCUCCAGAGGUGGGAGAAGCAUGAGGAGGGCUUCCUGUUUGCACUGCUUUUGCCCAAGAAGCUGCUCUCAGGGCAGAGGUGAAAGGAUGGACAGCCAGAUGAAGUGUGCUGGGGGAAUGCUGGGAAGAGAAGACAGCACCUCUACGUCUUCUUCAGCCCUGGUGUGCCUUGCACUAUGCUGUAGCACCUUGUUGUGGCUGUGCAGUUGAUCCCUGGUCAGACCCAGGCUGGGAUUGCCUUCAUUUAGACCUCAAAUGCAUCCUCUAUAGACAGGCCAGCACUGCUCUGAUGCACCCACAGAAGAACACAGCAGAGCCAGAAGAAGACAGAAUGCAACCAGACCUGAACGUGGCCACGGAUGUCACUCCAAGCAGCUGGCCUGCACAGAGCACUGUAGGAAAGGAGGCACAAAUGGAGCAGCGCUGUGCUGCUGUUGGGCAGGAGCUGCGACACCAAAGAAGGGAGCCAUGGUUUGGCUCUUCCCAAGCUAACAGCUCUCUUCUAACUCAAAAUGCUUCUCCGUACAAAGUCCACGGAAGCCUUUGAGAUCUGUUUGCUUCCUGGGGACAUUUUCUUUGCCUUAUUUUUUCUCCUUUUUUGCUGCUGUCACAGAGCUGGGGUUGGCUGUUUGCUUGGGACGUGUGGGCAGGAGCCCAGGGGAGAGGGGGAAAGAGCAGACCUAAUUACAGGGGAUGCUCUCAAAAAUAGAGCUGCUUUUCCCCUGCUCCGUGAGCUGGUGUCAGAGAUCCUGUGUGGCUGCAACGUGACCACAUCCUGCCAUCCUGCCCCCAAACAAUUACAUCAAAAAGGAAAAGCCAUCAGGACUGGCAGUGCUCAGCUGGGGAGGAGCAGCAGGAGCGACAUGCCGGAUCCUGGGGGUGCACACAGACCUUCUUGGUGAAGAAAACCAAGCACUGCUUUGCCUCGCUGAGUUGACGAAUCCUACUGUGCCCAUAUUGCAGGAGUCUGGGGGAGAAAGACUGUAAGAAGAGGGGUUUUGCAGUCCACCUGCUGAAAAAGAUGGAGAUGUUUGUGUUGUGUCAGUCAACUGGGUCAGAAUGGCACUUACCAGCACUGCACUGGUGCAAAUAAGGGCAGCACAGUGAGUGCAGGGUUAGAAGCGGUGUCCAUGGGAUCCCUGUGCCUGUUUGCUGUCUUAGUUCAACAUUCAACAAGUCCUGAAGGGCUGAGGGGGGGGUAUGCACAGAGCACACCCUGGCUGCACGCUCAUUGACCUGCAAUGCACGGAGGGUGAGAUGGUCACACGUAACCACUUCCCAGGCAGGGCAGCAGUUAAUGAUGUGUCGUCAGCCCAUUCUGAAUUCUCAUUCUGGGGGAUUAAACUGCAAAAACUUGCCUUGCCCUGGGCAGAAGCUCAGCUUGGAGAGCCGUAUUUUCCUUGUCUUUUGAAGAAAUUCUGAGGUCCUUUAGCAACAUCUGUGGUCAAAAGGACGUUUUCUAGUGGCAGACUCUGAGAAAAUCCCAGCUUCACCCACAUGGGGCUGCAACAGCAGUAGCAAAAAGUGAACGUGACCACUCUUGAGAAAGCCCUGUGCAGAGUUUGUUCUUUGUCGGGGUCACCACCUCUGAAGGCUUUGUUUUCCUUGCGCUUCCAGAGCCUGGAUUUGGGGAUGAGGCUGGGGAGAGGCUUUGUGUGCUGUAACCAUUCCUCUUCCUAAGGCCGAUGGAAGUGCUGGGUUAACACAUGCAGUGGGAUGGGCAGUGGCUUCAGAAUGUAUGGGUAGACUGUAACUGAUCACCUGGGACAGACGCAUGGCUUGCAAGGACAUUGGAAAGCCAGGAACUGCAAAAUGAGCAGGGAAAAGGCUGCAGGGACUGUUGGUGAGAUGGCUCCAGGGCUGCAGGCAUUCCAGCAAUGGGGCAGAAGUCAUGGAAAGUUCUCUGGGAAACAAACUGAACAGGAAACAAUACUGUUAUAUAAGUACACAGAGAGGCUGCGGCUGCACCCAUAAAGCUUUCACAGGGCUAUUUGUCAUUUACUGACAGCACAGAAACAUGAACCAUAAAAC
ensembl:lncRNA